ACUGCUCUUGCGGAGGACACGGGCUCAACUCCUGUUGCAAUUUCAACUAUAAUUCCAGUUCCAGAGCAUCUGGUGCCCUCUUCUGACCUCUGUGGACAUCUGCGAGCACCUGAUGCACAUUGUACACCUGGGCACUCAUAGACACAUUACAUAAAUUAAUCUUUAAAGAAAGAAAGUACAUGUUUCACCUUUUCCCAUGGUGGAUCAAGAGAGGAUUAGGAUACCGUAGACUAGUGUUUUCCAAGGUAUUCUGCACGUGUACAAAAUUAAUUUAAAAUAUGUCCCUAAAUCAUGGACCCAUGUGAGAUGGGUAUCUCUCUCUCUGUCAAAGAAAAUUUAGAAUAAUGGGUAAGGAUCUAUAUAGUUGCUAAUUAUCAGUACAUAUGAAAAAUUUUUGUAUUGUCACCCUUUUGUUAAGGUCCAAAAACCAGUUCCUUGAGCUUUUUACCAUGAACUGUUCCGUCCUUGAUUGAUUUCUUACAACACUAUGAUUUUUGUACUCUGUUGGAAUUAGAGCAGAUCUGGAUCUAUGGGUAUCGUGUUGCUUUGUUUCCUGGCGCUGUUGAGCUAAUGGUGAUGUCAUCACUCACAACAUGGGACAUCCCUCAUCCUGCCCAUGCCUCUCUGCCUUCGUCUUACCCUCUGCUUAUGUCCUCCCUCUCACCAGGACAGCACCCCCCAGUCGGGACCAAUCCUUUCGGAAUGGAUUCUCUUAAUGUACUCUGCAAGUCCUCAGUUUACUGUCUGAUUGGUGCUAGUGUUUCCUGCCCUUGCCUGCUUCUUAGGAUGACUCCACACCAGCUAUCCUUUGAGUACCAGAGAGUUGAGCUGUCUGUGCAUGGGCAACAUUUGACAUCCUGCAAAAUGUUGUCCAAGUAGAAAAGCCAAGCCAAAGAGUAGAAGAGGAAUCCCUACUUCCUUCUGAACAAUGUGCUUUCUGUGGGUUUUGACUGCCCCCAAGGAACGACGCUAGUAGACUUGCUUCUGGAUCUUCCAAAGUCGGCACUAACUGCAGCCUUCAGAUUAGAGAAAGCCGAAAACAAAAGAAUGCCACUUUUUUUUCCCUCUCUGGGCUAUCUUUAGAAGCAAAUGUUCACAGAAUAUGGAGCAGACGCGACAUGCCAGCCUUGCUGAUUGCACAUGCAGGAAUCGAGCUUCAUCCUUCUUUUUUGUCCACCUCGGAAGCCUGGGUGGAAACGCAUGUUACAGUGAAGAAGUCUCAUCUGGCACUCAGCCUGAAACACCUUUUGAUUUCUUUGACUGGUUCCUAGAAUUAUGGAGAUCUGUUGGGCGGACAGGUUUAUUUGGUACAGGGCAGUGCUUCUUGCCUUGGAUGCUCUGUUUCCACGGAGACGUUGUGAGGAUGCUGUUGUGGGGCAAUGGGGUCCUAUCUGAGAGUGCCAUUGUGCAUGUUGGUCUCCUCGAGGCCAGGCAGGUGGUUUAUUGAUGUGGGAGAAUUGUCUGUAUUCUGUCAAUCAUAUUUUAAUAAAAUGCUGAUUGGCCAGGCAGGCAGUAUAGGCGGGAAAGCCAGACAG